CUGCUGGGAGGUGCAGGAGGUUGCUGUUUCAGCUCCGUGCCUCCACAUGAGCAAACUGAAUCGGGUAAAAGAGGAUUUUGGUUUCUGUGAACCAGGGUUUACGUGCUGAGUUAUCCCACGCUGCUGCUUUUCGCCAUCCAUGUGGACCUGCUGGAGUCUCAUCUUUGGAUAAUGGGAUAAUUCCCUCACAGCAAACGUCUGAUGAAUUCAGCUUCUGAUUCCUUGGAAAUCGCCUCUGGAGACGGUGCUGAAGAUUUCUACACAUGCGAUCCAACUCCUGGGCUGCAUCGCCCUCAGCACUGGAAUUGGAGAGCUCCUGGGAGCAGUGAGAGCUGAGUUCCUCCAUCUGCACUGCUCUGGAAGGGUGUGAGCAUCCCUGUUGCUGUUGAAGAAGAGCAAUGCUGACUGAGAAGCAGUGUCCCAGCAGCGUGGUGACGGGUGCAUGGCAGCCUAGAGGACGAAGCAAGGAGCCCUGAUGGAUUUUUCCCAGAACAGGAAGGAUUUCAGAAGAAAGCAGCAGUGCUGGCAGGGAUCUGCAUGUUGAAGUUGAAGGAAGCAGGGAGAGCCCAAGGCAGUGAGCACCAACACAGGAUGGAGCCUGGUAGGUGGUGAGGUGUGGGCUUCCAGUUGUGGAAACCAAAGGUAGGAGUGCUUCUUCCCUUCUUUUCUAAUAAGAUUCUUCCCCAAAGCGGGACGAGCCCAUUUUCAUCUCACUGCCAGUGUUACCAGAGCCAGAUGUUUUGUUUUGCCUUCUUUUCCACCCCCAGGAUGGACAAGGAUGAGGGUGGUUUUUCAGGGGAAGAGGUGGGGGCUGUGAGUGCUAGGGCUGCCACUGCCCAGGUGCAACCAGUAAGGAUAGGCAGCACUCAUCCCAGCUCCUCCACAUCUCCUGGCCAAGACUCAGCCCUGGGUCUCCAGGCACCAAUGAAGCUGCUCUCCCUUUGGCUCCUGGGAAAUAAACUGUAGUUGAACAUUCAACUACAUCUUGUUUUAUAACUUACCAUGCCCCAGCUUACCUGACCGCUCCCUGUGCUUUGGCCUCAUCUGUGAAUUGGAGAACUGGUCAGCUCUUGGAGGCAUCCAUUUCACCUUCUGCUGCCACAGCCCCUGGUGUGGGGUAACUGCUCAGACUCGGGCAAGGGGGUGCCAAAACAAAGCCCAAUGUGAGCAUCUGCAUUGAGCAGCACCUUGCAGAGCAAUAGCUGCACACACAGAACCACUAGUUUUCAAAUACUUUUAAAUUCUCUUAUGUUAUUUCCCUUCUUGUAUAUAUUUUUCCUUUCUCAGCUGUCAUGCAUCAGCCCUGCUCCUCCAGCCUGCACUGAUGAUUAAGGCCAGGAGGGGCACACCUCUAUUAAUGAAGAGCAGUGCUGCGGGUGCAGCUUUGGGGGCUCAGCCAGGGCUGGAGGAGCUCAAAGCUCUCAGACACACAUCAGCCCCAUUUGCAGGGCCCUGGUGGGGAGCUGCUUCUCAUUGGGGCUUCGAGAAGCAGCCUGGCAGGGGAGCGAACACCCCAAGGAGUAAUACACGCAUAGUCUGCGUUUUUUUGCUCUCUUGCAUUUUCCAGAGAUGGGGCUGGCCUUGGGGCAGACUGACUGUCACCCUCCCAGCCUCCAGGCCUCUCCAUCCACUCUGAGAGUUAAAAUCUCAGGUGCCAGGUUGCAUUGAUGCAAAAGAGACCCAAAAGCUUACAAUGUAUUUUGGUACGUGUUCCACCCUUGUGCUAACAAGCCUGGCCUCUACCUCUGCUAUUGCUGAAGCUCUCCUCUGAGACAGGAGAUUCACAGCAAUUGCCUUGCAGACACUUCUGGCAGCACAGAGCAGGGUGAGGGCUCAGCCCUGGAUGGCCAGAGCCCAUUCUGUGUUUGCAGUCAAGUCUUAAAAAGCUGCACCCUCUGCUGCUCCUCCAGCAGCCCCGUGUGUGUCCAGGGCAGGAACCCCAAAGGGAAGAGGCCCAGAAGGAGCCACCCUCAGCAGACCCCACUCUCCCCCUCUCAUACUUGGAUAAAGACAGGCAAGCCUGAAUGUGGUGUCUCACUUGUUUUAUUUCCCCUGGAUUAACACACAGCUCCAGUUAUCACCACAGCAGCAAAGCAGCCCCUGGGAGCAGCACAGACCAGGGCCAAGGGUGCAGUGCAGGAGCCAAGCCCUGGCUGAGUUUUGGUGGGGCACAGAGGGGAUAACAGAGCCCCUGGUUCUGCUCUCCAGCUGCCACCCCCUUCUCCCCAGCUUCUCUUGCAGCUGUGUUAAACAGAGGGUGGGUAAGCAAUUACCAGGAGUGUUUUCUUGGGAAGCCAACCUGCUGAAGCACUUGAAUGGCCUGUAGGCAAGGGAGGUGACGUCCAGGAACCAAGGCAUGCCAGUGGCUCAGAGGCACUCACAGUGUUCUCCCCUGCAGGUGCAGUAGUUGAAGAGGUGGAGCAAAUCAACCUUCCCUCACUCUUCCUGGGGUAAUGGCAUCUCCUCCGGAGCCUGGGCAACUGUUCAUCGAGAGGGCACAGAGCUUUAGGGUCCCUUUCAACUUAAGCCAUGCAAUGAUGCUAAGCCCUUGGUUCCCUGUCUUGCUCCUGAGGUCAACCAGCAGUACCCAUGGGUACAUGGGUACAUGGGUGGGGGUACAAGCUGCAACAAUGAAGAGCAAAGCCCAACGCCCACUGCCAGUUUUAAGUCCUAGAAAUAAUGGCAGGGCUGGCUGAGGGUAGCAGAAAGGCACUGAAAAGGCACUGAGAUGAAGCAGCAGGAAGCAAAAAUAAAGCUCCUGAGGAAGGUAAGCUCCAACCAAGGGCCUGGCUGUGCUUUCUAGGGCAACAGCACUAGGUCUGCAGCCACAGCUUGGCAGGAGGGAGAGGGAGAGAGAUCCAUCAGCACACCUGAGACAUUUCUCUAGCAGAGGCUAAAGAGAAGCAGCUACUUCUGGCUGAGGAAAAUAAAAAGGGUCCUUGGAGGGGGUACAGCAGCGCUCAAGAAGGACAGGGAACCCCAGCAGCAAAGACGGGCCCAGCAGGAGAUGCUGGCACAGGGAGGAGGGGUCCCAGCAAGAGCUGUGCUAAACACAGAAGAGGCACUCCUGAAAACUCCACAAUCAUAUUAACCUGUUAAUUUAUACAGCAUCUCUGUACAAAAAUAGAAAGGUUCUAAUAAGAUUAACAAUAUUAAAUAAAUAUUUAAUAGAAAAAAAAAAAAGUCU